rnacentral:rRNA from 1 species
UACGUAGGGGGCAAGCGUUGUCCGGAUUUAUUGGGCGUAAAGAGCGUGUAGGCGGCCAUGUAGGUCCGUUGUGAAAACUCGAGGCUCAACCUCGAGAUGCCGAUGGAAACCAUGUGGCUAGAGUCCGGAAGAGGAGAGUGGAAUUCCUGGUGUAGCGGUGAAAUGCGCAGAUAUCAGGAAGAACACCCGUGGCUAAGGCGGCUCUCUAGUACGGUACUGACGCUGAGACGCGAAAGCGUGGGGGAGCGAACAGG